CAGUAGCCGCGGUAACACGGAGGGGGCUAGCGUUGUUCGGAAUUACUGGGCGUAAAGCGUGCGUAGGCGGUUCGUUAAGUCUGUUGUGAAAGCCCCGGGCUCAACCUGGGAAUGGCAAUGGAUACUGGCGAGCUAGAGUGUGUCAGAGGAUGGUGGAAUUCCCGGUGUAGCGGUGAAAUGCGUAGAGAUCGGGAGGAACAUCAGUGGCGAAGGCGGCCAUCUGGGACAACACUGACGCUGAGGCACGAAAGCGUGGGGAGCAAACAGGAUUAGAUACCCCCGUAGUCCCUGUCUCUUAUAC
rnacentral:rRNA from 1 species